rnacentral:rRNA from 1 species
UAAGUGGAGAGUUUGAUCCUGGCUCAGAAUGAACGCUGGCGGCGUGCUUAACACAUGCAAGUCGAGCGAGGCCAGGGGGGCAACUCCCUGAGUCGAGCGGCGGACGGGUGAGUAACACGUGGGUAACCUACCCGGAAGUGGGGAAUACCUCGGGGAAACUCGAGCUAAUACCGCAUGACAUCUUCGGGACGAAAGUCCUGACGAUCAAAGCGGGGUCGCAAGAUCUCGCGCUACCGGAUGGGCCCGCGCCCGAUUAGCUAGUUGGUGAGGUAAUGGCUCACCAAGGCUUCGAUCGGUAACCGGCCUGAGAGGGCGAUCGGUCACACCGGAACUGAGACACGGUCCGGACUCCUACGGGAGGCAGCAGUGGGGAAUCUUGCGCAAUGGGCGAAAGCCUGACGCAGCAACGCCGCGUGGAGGAUGAAGGCCCUUGGGUUGUAAACUCCUGUCGGCUGGGAAGAAAUCGUUUGUGGCUAAUACCCGCAGACGUUGACUGUACCAGCAAAGGAAGCCCCGGCUAACUCUGUGCCAGCAGCCGCGGUAAUACAGAGGGGGCCAGCGUUAUUCGGAAUUAUUGGGCGUAAAGGGCGCGUAGGCGGCCAUGCGUGUCUUUCGUGAAAUCCCUCGGCUCAACCGAGGACGUGCGGAAGAAACUGCAAGGCUCGAGUCCGGAAGAGGGGGGCGGAAUUCCCAGUGUAGCGGUGAAAUGCGUAGAUAUUGGGAGGAACACCAGUGGCGAAGGCGGUCCCCUGGGCCGGAACUGACGCUGAGGCGCGAAAGCGUGGGUAGCAAACGGGAUUAGAUACCCCGGUAGUCCACGCCGUAAACGAUGGGCACUUGGUGUCGCGGGUAUCGACCCCUGCGGUGCCGAAGCUAACGCAUUAAGUGCCCCGCCUGGGGAGUACGGUCGCAAGGCUGAAACUCA